GAUGAACGCUAGCGGCAGGCUUAACACAUGCAAGUCGAGGGGUAUAGGGAGCUUGCUUCCUAGAGACCGGCGCACGGGUGCGUAACGCGUAUGCAAUCUACCUUUUGCAGAGGAUAGCCCAGAGAAAUUUGGAUUAAUACCUCAUAGUAUAGCAGUUUCGCAUGAAACCACUAUUAAAGUCACAACGGUGUAAGAUGAGCAUGCGUCCCAUUAGCUAGUUGGUAAGGUAACGGCUUACCAAGGCAACGAUGGGUAGGGUCCUGAGAGGGAGAUCCCCCACACUGGUACUGAGACACGGACCAGACUCCUACGGGACGGCAGCAGUGAGGAAUAUUGG
rnacentral:rRNA from 1 species